UACACUCCUGCGGGAGGCAGCAGUAGGGAAUCUUCGGCAAUGGGGGCAACCCUGACCGAGCAACGCCGCGUGAGUGAAGAAGGUUUUCGGAUCGUAAAGCUCUGUUGUAAGUCAAGAACGAGUGUGAGAGUGGAAAGUUCACACUGUGACGGUAGCUUACCAGAAAGGGACGGCUAACUACGUGCCAGCAGCCGCGGUAAUACGUAGGUCCCGAGCGUUGUCCGGAUUUAUUGGGCGUAAAGCGAGCGCAGGCGGUUUGAUAAGUCUGAAGUUAAAGGCUGUGGCUCAACCAUAGUUCGCUUUGGAAACUGUCAAACUUGAGUGCAGAAGGGGAGAGUGGAAUUCCAUGUGUAGCGGUGAAAUGCGUAGAUAUAUGGAGGAACACCGGUGGCGAAAGCGGCUCUCUGGUCUGUAACUGACGCUGAGGCUCGAAAGCGUGGGGAGCGAACAGGAUUAGAAACCCGUGUAGUCCCAUGAU
rnacentral:rRNA from 1 species